rnacentral:pre_miRNA from 14 species
AGGCCUGGGACACUCCUGAAGCCAGGGCACAGGGCUUAGCUCACCUGUGAACAGAGUUAGCGUUGCAUCAUGUUCACAGUGGCUAAGUUCCGCCUCCUGGUGUCUAUUACCUGGGACUCAGGC